GGUCAACAGCACAUGAGGUACAGGAGGUCGGAGCUCUUCCUGUGCUGUGACUAAUUAUGACCCAGACUCAGAGUGUCUCCUCAGCUCCGGCCAGGAUAAACUCUAACCUCUGUGACAUCACGGCCAAAUCCCUCCACCGCACUGCAAAAACUACCUGCAAAGAGCCCAAAGCAAUUACUUGGAUUCCAACCUCCCCAGAUUCCAAUCUGCAGAAUGUGCCGAAACAAGCCUGAUCCAUGGAGCAUCCACCCAGCAACCUACAGGACCCAAAGGAUCUGCUGAAAGGAACAUUCCAGAGCCACAUAUCAAAGGACACCUCACCUCGAAGGGCCCUGUGUCAACACCACAAGGCCUCAGAGACGUUUUCAGAACCUGAAUCUGAUUUUGUUUCGCCAAGCAUGUUGCACAAACAAGGAAUUCUGUUCCAGCUGUUGGUGUGCACAAAGGUUAUGACAACAACGUGCAUAAGACAAUUUUCCAUAGACAAAAUAGCAUAUAUUAUAUAUAACAAGCACAUACAUUUUGCCUGGACAAUGGGAACAACAGGGACGUAUAUGGCAGUGAUUUAACUGCUGUGUCUUUUUGGUGUAGAUCUGGUGACAGAAGUGAAGCCUGGGAGAUAUUCAACCCACCUAAAAAGGUUGAUUUGUGGUCCACUACUCUCAGGUUUGAAAUGGGAUGUUCUUCUGUAAUAACCUGCCCACCACAAGAUGACGCAGGUAAUGAUUCACAUCUGAGAUGAGUUAUAUAAUAAAGGCUAAAAUGGCAAAACCUCCAC